GCUUCCGGAGGAUGGAGGUAGAGAGUGAGCAUCUUCCUCCAGCUUCUGACCCCUGUCCUCUGCCCCACAG
rnacentral:miRNA from 1 species